CUUUUCUCUGAAUUCCUAGUGGUGAGUGAAGACAGAACACAUGACCCUAAAUAUACUUGAAACAGCAGUGAAAAAAGGGAAUCAAAGAUAACAGACUAUUUCUGAUGUGAUAAUCUGAGAGAGCAUAUAGCAUAUCGUGGCC